rnacentral:tRNA from 1 species
UAGAAAGUGGUGUAUUAGGAAGCACAUAGAGUUUUGAUCUCUUUAGGAUGGGUUCAAGUCCCUUUUUUCUAA